UCCAUUUUGUAAUGUGGAUGUGUUUUUCUGUCCUUAGGGAUACCAGUUCAAAGUUUUCAACCUGGAAACGAGCUUCCAUUCAUUAAUUCUUCUAAUCCAGUCAUGUCGCUGGUUGCAUUUUUGGCUUCUGCAAUAGGACCAAGAGUUGCGGCAUCAUGCGCGCAUGCAGCAUUAUCCUUUUUGACAAGAGAUGAUGAUCCCAGGCUCAGUUCUGAAUUAAGGAAUGCAUGCUGAUGGCAGGGGCAACGGUGCAAAUCCUAAUUUUCCCAACCAUAGUGGUGACUGUUUUUGUAUUUAAUUCUUGUUACAGUCAGUGUUGCCAACAAAAUUCCUCUAAUCUGUUCACUCAAGUUUUAGAAAAUAUUUAUUUUUUA